GGCCCCAUGGUCAAGAGGUUAAGACAUCGCCCUUUCACGGCGGUAACGGGAGUUCAAUUCUCCCUGGGGUCACCA
rnacentral:tRNA from 1 species